AGAAUUUGAUCUUGGUUCAGGAUGAACGCUGGCGGCGUGCUUAACACAUGCAAGUCGAACGGAGUUUUUAAACGGAAGUUUUCGGAUGGAAGUUUAAAAACUUAGUGGCGGACGGGUGAGUAACGCGUGGGUAACCUGCCUCAUACAGGGGGAUAACAGUUAGAAAUGACUGCUAACACCGCAUAAUAUAGCGAAACCGCAUGAUUUUUGCUAUCAAAAUAUUUUAUAGGUAUGAGAUGGGCCCGCGUCUGAUUAGCUAGUUGGUGGGGUAAAAGCCUACCAAGGCGACGAUCAGUAGCCGGCUUGAGAGAGUGACCGGCCACAUUGGGACUGAGACACGGCCCAAACUCCUACGGGAGGCAGCAGUGGGGAAUAUUGGACAAUGGGGGAAACCCUGAUCCAGCCGACGCCGCGUGAGUGAAGAAGUAUUUCGGUAUGUAAAGCUCUAUCAGCAGGGAAGAUAAUGACAGUACCUGACUAAGAAGCCCCGGCUAACUACGUGCCAGCCGCCGC
rnacentral:rRNA from 1 species